GGGAGGAUUCAUGGGGCCACAAACUUGAAAAGGCAUAGGAUCAGUUGGGAGGCACAAUAUGGUCGAAGAGAUAAAGGUGUCAGCUGUCCAAUGACUCCUCCUGUCCUCCUAACUGUUGUGUGGAGCAAUGGUGAAGGGUCAAUAGAUUUAUGGUUUUGCAAGGCAUCGUUAGUGACCACACGGAUCAGGGGGUGCGGCUGGCUGUUGGCGGCAACUGGACGAGGCACACCUGCAUUCAAUCAUCCUCCUCCAUAUAAACCUGGGCGUCUCAUCACGUCGACACCAGAUUAUUCCGUCCACUACGAACUCUCGCGUGCGUCAUCGCCCGGCUCUUCGUCCUGCCCGUUGCCAGGAUCCUCGCC
ensembl:lncRNA